GACGAACGCUGGCGGCGUGCUUAACACAUGCAAGUCGAACGCUGAAGCUCAGCUUUUGUUGGGUGGAUGAGUGGCGAACGGGUGAGUAACACGUGAGUAACCUGCCCCCUUCUUUGGGAUAACGCCCGGAAACGGGUGCUAAUACUGGAUAUUCACUGGUCUUCGCAUGGGGGUUGGUGGAAAGGGUUUUUCUGGUGGGGGAUGGGCUCGCGGCCCAUCAGCUUGUUGGUGGGGUGAUGGCCUACCAAGGCUUUGACGGGUAGCCGGCCUGAGAGGGUGACCGGUCACAUUGGGACUGAGAUACGGCCCAGACUCCUACGGGAGGCGGCAGUGGGGAAGAUGGCACAAUGGGCGCAAGCCUGAUGCAGCGACGCCGCGUGAGGGAUGGAGGCCUUCGGGUUGUGAACCUCUUUCGCUCAUGGUCAAGCCGCAACAAUGGUUGUGGUGAGGGUAGUGGGUAAAGAAGCGCCGGCUAACUACGUG
rnacentral:rRNA from 1 species